CCCCCCCAGCCCCAAAGAGCAGCUCAGGGUGCAGCGGACAGGAUGCGCAGAGCCUUCCCGCUGCUCCCAGAGCUUGUGGGGCUGGCGGGGG